rnacentral:rRNA from 1 species
AACGUAGGAGACAAACGUUAUCCGGAGUUACUGGGCGUAAAGGGCGUGUAGGUGGUUUCGUAAGUCUGGCGUGAAAUUUUUCGGCUUAACCGGGAAAGGUCGUCGGAUACUGCAGAACUAGAGGACGGUAGAGGCGUGUGGAAUUCCGGGUGUAGUGGUGAAAUGCGUAGAGAUCCGGAGGAACACCAGUGGCGAAGGCGACACGCUGGGCCGUACCUGACACUGAGGCACGAAAGCCAGGGGAGCAAACGGG